UACGGAGGGGGCUAGCGUUGUUCGGAAUUACUGGGCGUAAAGGGCGCGUAGGCGGCCCGCUAAGUCGAACGUGAAAUCCCCGAGCUCAACUCGGGAACUGCGUCCGAUACUGGCGGGCUUGAAUCCGGGAGAGGGAUGCGGAAUUCCAGGUGUAGCGGUGAAAUGCGUAGAUAUCUGGAGGAACACCGGUGGCGAAGGCGGCAUCCUGGACCGGCAUUGACGCUGAGGCGCGAAAGCCAGGGGAGCAAACAGG
rnacentral:rRNA from 1 species